UACGUAGGGGGCAAGCGUUGUCCGGAAUUAUUGGGCGUAAAGAGCGCGUAGGCGGUCCGAUAAGUCGGCUGUGAAAGUCAAGGGCUCAACCCCUGAAUGCGGGUGGAUACUGCUGGGCUAGAGUCCGGAAGAGGUGAGUGGAAUUCCUGGUGUAGCGGUGAAAUGCGCAGAUAUCAGGAGGAACACCGGUGGCGAAGGCGACGUCCUGGACCGGCAUUGACGCUGAGGCGCGAAAGCCAGGGGAGCAAACGGG
rnacentral:rRNA from 1 species